UGGACACACGUUUCUCUUUCA
rnacentral:siRNA from 1 species